rnacentral:rRNA from 1 species
GACAGAGGGUGCAAACGUUGCUCGGAAUUACUGGGCGUAAAGGGCGCGUAGGCGGACAGUUUAGUCAGAGGUGAAAGCCCAGGGCUCAACCUUGGAAUUGCCUUUGAUACUGGCUGUCUUGAGUUCGGGAGAGGUGAGUGGAAUGCCGAGUGUAGAGGUGAAAUUCGUAGAUAUUCGGCGGAACACCAGUGGCGAAGGCGACUCACUGGCCCGAUACUGACGCUGAGGCGCGAAAGCGUGGGGAGCAAACAGG